rnacentral:rRNA from 1 species
GACGAACGCUGGCGGCGUGCUUAACACAUGCAAGUCGAACGGAAAGGCCCUGCUUUUGUGGGGUGCUCGAGUGGCGAACGGGUGAGUAACACGUGAGUAACCUGCCAUUGACUUUGGGAUAACUUCAGGAAACUGGGGCUAAUACCGGAUAGGAGCUCCUGCUGCAUGGUGGGGGUUGGAAAGUUUCGGCGGUUGGGGAUGGACUCGCGGCUUAUCAGCUUGUUGGUGGGGUAGUGGCUUACCAAGGCUUUGACGGGUAGCCGGCCUGAGAGGGUGACCGGCCACAUGGGGACUGGGAUACGGCCCAGACUCCUACGGGAGGCAGCAGUGGGGAAUAUUGCACAAUGGGCGGAAGCCUGAUGCAGCAACGCCGCGUGCGGUAUGACGGCCUUCGGGUUGUAAACCGCUUUCGCCUGUGACGAAGCGUGAGUGACGGUAAUGGGUAAAGAAGCACCGGCUAACUACGUG